ACCUGGCAGGCUCUGUCGGAAGAGCAUGGGACUCUUGAUCUCGAAGUUGUGAGUUCAAGCCCCAUGUUGGGCA
rfam:Felis catus isolate Cinnamon breed Abyssinian chromosome B3, whole genome shotgun sequence.